ACUCCUACGGGAGGCAGCAGUGGGGAAUUUUGGACAAUGGGGGCGAACCCUCGAUCCAGCAAUGCCGCGUGAGUGAAGAAGGCCCUCCGGGUUGUAAAGCUCUUUUGUUCAGGGAAGAAACGGUGAUCUCUAAUAUAGAUUGCUAAUGACGGUACCUGAAGAAUAAGCACCGGCUAACUACGUGCCAGCAGCCGCGGUAAUACGUAGGGGUGCAAGCGUUAAUCGGAAUUACUGGGCGUAAAGCGUGCGCAGGCGGUUUUGUAAGUCUGAUGUGAAAUCCCCGGGGCUCAACCUGGGAACUGCAUUGGAGACUGCAAGGCUAGAGUGUGUCAGAGGGGGGUAGAAUUCCACGUGUAGCAGUGAAAUGCGUAGAGAUGUGGAGGAAUACCGAUGGCGAAGGCAGCCCCCUGGGAUAACACUGACGCUCAUGCACGAAAGCGUGGGGAGCAAACAGGAUUAGAUACCCUGGUAGGAUAGCG
rnacentral:rRNA from 1 species